rnacentral:rRNA from 1 species
CCCUAUUGGUGGAUAGAAUGCUAGUCAGCGCUCUCUAGCCAAUAAGGGAGUGCGGCACAUAGCUCAGUAACACGUGGCUAACCUGCCCUCAAGACGGGGACAACCCCGGGAAACUGGGGCUAAUCCCUGAUAGGCGAAGAGCUCUGGAAUGAGCCUUUACCAGAAAGGACGAUUAGGUUAUGCUCCCAAUCGUCGCUCGAGGAUGGGGCCGCGUCCGAUCAGGUUGUUGGUGAGGUAACGGCUCACCAAGCCUUUGACCGGUGCGGGCCGUGGGAGCGGGAGCCCGGAGAUGGGCACUGAGACAAGGGCCCAGGCCCUACGGGGCGCAGCAGUCGCGCAAACUUUGCAAUACACGAAAGUGUGACAGGGCUAUCCCGAGUGCCGUCCGCUGAGGAUGGCUUUUAACCAGUCUAGAAAGCUGGUAGAAUAAGGAGAGGGCAAGUCUGGUGUCAGCCGCCGCGGUAAUACCAGCUCUCCGAGUGGUGUGGAUGUUUAUUGGGCCUAAAGCAUCCGUAGCUGGCCAAGUUAGUCCCCUGUUAAACCCAACGAAUUAAUCGUUGGAUUGCGGGGGAUACUGCUCGGCUAGGGGACGAGAGAGGCCGACGGUAUUCUCGGGGUAGGGGUGAAAUCCUAUAAUCCCGGGAAGACCACCAGUGGCGAAGGCUGUCGGCUAGAACGAGCCCGACGGUGAGGGAUGAAAGCUGGGGGAGCGAACCGGAUUAGAUACCCGGGUAGUCCCAGCUGUAAACGAUGCACGCUAGGUGUUUGGACGGCCACGUGCCGUUCUAGUGCCGCAGGGAAGCUGUUAAGCCUGCCGCCUGGGGAGUACGAUCGCAAGAUUGAAACUUAAAGGAAUUGGCGGGGGAGCACCACAAGGGGUGAAGCUUGCGGUUUAAUUGGAUUCAACGCCGGG